UACGGAGGGGGCUAGCGUUGUUCGGAAUUACUGAGCGUAAAGCGCACGUAGGCGGCUUUGUAAGUUAGAGGUGAAAGCCCGGGGCUCAACUCCAGAACUGCCUUUAAGACUGCAUCGCUCGAAUUGUGGAGAGGUAAGUGGAAUUCCGAGUGUAGAGGUGAAAUUCGUAGAUAUUCGGAAGAACACCAGUGGCGAAGGCGACUUACUGGACACAUAUUGACGCUGAGGUGCGAAAGCGUGGGGAGCAAACAGG
rnacentral:rRNA from 1 species